ACGACAUAAUAAACAAAAGAAAUGAGUCUAGCAUGCUUGUUAAAACCUCUAAGCUGUAUAGAUUUAUAAAUACACUUAACAAAAUUUGUUUAAACAUAAAAAAAAAGUGUCAAAAUAGAAAAGUAUUAAUUUGUAUAGAUGUUAAGAAUAUAAAUAUAGACAUAUUAGAUAGUUUUUAUAUUUAUGAUAGUAAUUAUUUACUAAUAAAUAAUGUUCACCCUUAUUAUAAUAGUAGUUAUUUUUAUGUAACCAAAGAGGAAUACGUAAGAUUUCACAAACAGUGUAGUGUAAAAGAUAGUAGUAGUGGCAGUAGUGGUAGUAGUGGUAGUAGCGGUAGUAGUGGCAGUAGUGGUAGUAGUAGCUGUAGUGGUAGCAGUACCAUGUUGAUAAAAAAAAAAAGUCUGUUUUAUGAAACCAUGAAUGAAUUAAUUUUUAAUAAAAUAACAAAUUAUGAUGCUAACAAUUUGUUUUAUAUGAUAUCUUUCAAAGAAAAUCGGAUUAAACGAAUAUCAAUUCGUUUUUAUUGUACCAUUAUAUGUAACAACGUGAGAAAGAGUGGGCGCACUUUCACUGGUACAGGUACGGAUAAAAAAACGAAUGACAUAUUAAGUAUAAUUAUAUACAAUUUUAGGUGUAUUUUUUCAAAUAUGGUGCAAAAACAUAUUAAUAGUAUACUAAAAAAUGAUAUAUUAUACGACAUAGGAAAAUUUGUUAUAAAUAGAGGCAAGGGAAUGUAUUUUAAUCGUUUAAAAAAUGAUAAAACGGUUAAAAAAAAAAAAAAGAGGAAAUUAAGAACUUGUGCAUAUAGUGAUCAUUGUAGUAGUAACAGAUAUGCGUUAAACACUGUGAACGAAGAUUUUAAAGAUUCUGAUAUAUUUGCACCAAAAUUAAAAACUAGUGAAUACGAAAAAGAGGAUGUAUAUUUUUCUUGUUCUUUAAGCAGCGUGUUUUCUAAUUUUACAUCAAGAACAGCAUCUUCUUUUUCGAAAAAUUCGUUAGCAUCAUUCAACCCGUUAUUAAGAAGAAUCCACAGUAAUGACAUAAGUCAUCAGAUAGUACAUGCAAAUGCAAAUGCAAAUACAAAAGGCAAAAUAAAUUGUUAUAAUAAUCUUCUUUGUUUACCAUUUGACCAAAAAAUGUAUAAUCCGAAUGGUGGUAAUAAUAAGAAGCAGCGUGGUAACAUAGCUACUGCUUUAGCCAAAAAUAAUAAUAUUAAAAAUAAUUCGGAAC
rnacentral:lncRNA from 1 species